rnacentral:rRNA from 1 species
GAUGAACGCUGGCGGCGUGCCUAAUACAUGCAAGUCGAGCGAACAGACGAGGAGCUUGCUCCUCUGACGUUAGCGGCGGACGGGUGAGUAACACGUGGAUAACCUACCUAUAAGACUAGGAUAACUUCGGGAAACCGGAGCUAAUACCGGAUAAUAUAUUGAACCGCAUGGUUCAAUAGUGAAAGACGGUUUUGCUGUCACUUAUAGAUGGCUCCGCGCCGCAUUAGCUAGGUGGUAAGGUAACGGCUUACCAAGGCAACGAUGCGUAGCCGACCUGAGAGGGUGAUCGGCCACACUGGAACUGAGACACGGUCCAGACUCCUACGGGAGGCAGCAGUAGGGAAUCUUCCGCAAUGGGCGAAAGCCUGACGGAGCAACGCCGCGUGAGUGAUGAAGGUCUUCGGAUCGUAAAACGCUGUUAUUAGGGAAGAACAAAUGUGUAAGUAACUAUGCACGUCUUGACGGUACCUAAUCAGAAAGCCACGGCUAACUACGUGCCAGCAGCCGCCGCCG